rnacentral:tRNA from 1 species
GGGCAUGUGGUGUAGUUGGUUAUCACGCUCGCUUAGCAUUCCAUGAUUUGCUUGCGAGAGGGGUCCGGUUCAAUCCCGGACAUGUCCA